rnacentral:rRNA from 1 species
CCUACGGGUGGCAGCAGUGAGGAAUAUUGGUCAAUGGGCGCAAGGCUGAACCAGCCAAGUCGCGUGAGGGAAGAAGGCCCAGAGGAUUGUAAACCUCUUUUGCCGGGGAGCAAAAGACGCCACGCGUGGCGUUCCGAGAGUACCCGAAGAAAAAGCAUCGGCUAACUCCGUGCCAGCAGCCGCGGUAAUACGGAGGAUGCGAGCGUUAUCCGGAUUUAUUGGGUUUAAAGGGUGCGCAGGCGGAAGAUUAAGUCAGCGGUAAAAUUGAGAGGCUCAACCUCGUCGAGCCGUUGAAACUGGUGUUCUUGAGUGAGUGAGAAGUAUGCGGAAUGCGUGGGGUAGCGGUGAAAUGCAUAGAUAUCGCGCAGAACUCCGAUUGCGAAGGCAGCAUACCGGCGCGCAACUGACGCUCAUGCACGAAAGUGUGGGUAUCGAACAGGAUUAGAUACCCUGGUAGUC